rnacentral:rRNA from 1 species
UACGUAGGGUGCAAGCGUUAAUCGGAAUUACUGGGCGUAAAGCGUGCGCAGGCGGUUUCGUAAGUCUGUCGUGAAAUCCCCGGGCUCAACCUGGGAAUUGCGAUGGAGACUGCGAGGCUAGAGUUUGGCAGAGGGGGGUAGAAUUCCACGUGUAGCAGUGAAAUGCGUAGAGAUGUGGAGGAACACCGAUGGCGAAGGCAGCCCCCUGGGUCAAAACUGACGCUCAUGCACGAGAGCGUGGGGAGCAAACAGG